rnacentral:rRNA from 1 species
UACGAAGGGGGCUAGCGUUGCUCGGAAUCACUGGGCGUAAAGCGCACGUAGGCGGAUUGCUAAGUCAGGGGUGAAAUCCUGGAGCUCAACUCCAGAACUGCCCUUGAUACUGGCGGAUCUUGAGUCGGGAGAGGUGAGUGGAACUGCGAGUGUAGAGGUGAAAUUCGUAGAUAUUCGCAAGAACACCAGUGGCGAAGGCGGCUCACUG